rnacentral:rRNA from 1 species
AGGGUUUGAUCAUGGCUCAGAGCGAACGCUGGCGGCAGGCUUAACACAUGCAAGUCGAGCGGAUGUAGCAAUACAUCAGCGGCAGACGGGAGAGUAACACGUGGGAACGCGCCCUUCGGUUCGGAAUAACUCAGGGAAACUUGAGCUAAUACCGGAUACGCCCUAACGGGGAAAGAUUUAUUGCCGAAGGAACGGCCCGCGUCGGAUUAGCUAGUUGGUGAGGUAAUGGCUCACCAAGGCGACGAUCCGUAGCUGGUCUGAGAGGAUGACCAGCCUCACUGGGACUGAGACACGGCCCAGACUCCUACGGGAGGCAGCAGUGGGGAAUAUUGGACAAUGGGCGCAAGCCUGAUCCAGCCAUGCCGCGUGGGUGAUGAAGGCCCUAGGGUUGUAAAGCCCUUUCGGCGGGGAAGAUAAUGACGGUACCCGCAGAAGAAGCCCCGGCUAACUUCGUGCCAGCAGCCGCGGUAAUACGAAGGGGGCUAGCGUUGCUCGGAAUUACUGGGCGUAAAGCGCACGUAGGCGGCUUCUUAAGUCGGUGGUGAAAUCCUGGAGCUCAACUCCAGAACUGCCUUCGAUACUGGGAAGCUCGAGUUCGGGAGAGGUGAGUGGAACUGCGAGUGUAGAGGUGAAAUUCGUAGAUAUUCGCAAGAACACCAGUGGC